AACAGGUUUUAGACGCUACCAGGAAAUCGUUCCACGGUUAUCUCUCUUGUUCCAUAGAGCUAGACAGCAGAGGACGAAAUGGGUCUGAUGGACGGUGUUUACAGAGCCGUGUUUAAGCGGACAUCAACGUUUGCCAUAGCUGUACUUGGUUCUGCCAUUGUCUUUGAUACAUAUUUUAACGAUUUCUUCGAUAGAUGGAUUGCGCAACACAACGCAGGCAGGCGGUAUGAAGAUAUGAGAAAGAUCUACCCUGAGGGUGGCGAUGAAUGAAAGCAGAGGAAUGGUCAUAGCCCUGUGUAGUUGAUAUGAUGUUAUAUGACAGAAGUUGUGAUAAAACACGAUGACUUUCAUCAUUGUAAUAUUUUUAUUUGUGAAGAAUGAAAGACCAACAAAUUAAUUGAAUAUACUAGUAUCUCCUUAAAAA